GGGAAAGAAGCAAGGGGAGGUGCUUGGAGUUGGAAAUCAGGGUUGAGGAUUAAGAUUCAGUAAUAUAUCAGGUUAGGGAUUGGUGGAGUGAUUGGGCAAAAGUCCAGAGAUGAGUUGGCUUUAGUAUAAGGUCAGGCUUACAGCAUCAGAAGCAGAAAUCUAGGGGUUGCAUCGGUUUGGCGUUACACUUCGUGACUGGAAGUCAUGGUGUCAGGAGGUCACAGAGGCCACUUCUGUUUUAGAUUGGACUAGGCAGUUGCUGAGGUCCCUUCCAGAUUUGAGGUUUGGGGGAAACUCACUGCUUGUCAUUUCUACAGAUGGAAGGGGAUUCAAAGGCACAGGACCUCCAUGUUACCUCUCAGUCAUCGGCUGUUGCACCGAGCACGCCAUCUGAGCCGGGAGCUUUGCCUGCUGCUGAGCCUGGCUGGACUAGCCAUCGCCGGUCUGCUCUCUCUGUAUAAGUCAUGGAUUUGCUUUUACGUGCCAGUGGGUGCUCCCGGCAAUUUCACCGUCAUUGACAUCUACACCUCUCUCCUUGUUCCCUGCCCAGAGACCGAAUGCACACUGGAGCCUGAUCAGCCGCCCUGCCUGUUCCUGUUCCUGUGUGCCCUGUUCUACCUGCUUCAGGCCCAGAAUUUCCUGCAGGAGGGAAUGAGCUACACCCUGGAAAUAAACUACUACCUGACAUGGGUGGGCAUUUUCCUCUUCAUGAUGACAGGCUUCCUUUGCUUCCUCAACUAUCUGAAUUUCUGGUCUAUAAUUACACCUGGGGGGUGCUGGCUUUAGGCCAUUAAGAUCGAUUCUGGACCCUGCCCGCCUGACUUCUUACUCCCACCCCAACCCUUACACCUUCCAGCUGAGCCCAUCACCAUCCCUGGGCCACCCCUUCCUCCUCCUUGAUUCCUCAAUUUAAUAAACUCAUGUGUCCUCA
rnacentral:lncRNA from 1 species